rnacentral:misc_RNA from 1 species
UCAAAAAAGUUUCAUUAUUUUUUUGAAAUAUUUUUCCAAUUUCCCCUGUCUAUCUUUGACCCCAUGUUGCUUCCACUUUGACUGGUAUUCAAUACCCUUCAGCCCACUAAUAAUACUUGGAGGGUUGAAGAGAAUGUCGGUGGAUAGCCUUAAAUUAAGAAUACUUUUGUUUAAAUACAGUCUGAUACAAAAUAGAAAUAAAACAAAUAUAAAA